GUGAGGGCACCCCGAACACCUGCAGCCCUCCCAGCACCAGACCAUCCAGGGCCCCAUUCAGCCUAAGAGGAUCACUCACCACCUGAGACUGAAGAAGACAUUUUGUGACCAUUUAUUUUAUUCUUUCAUCUAAAUAUGGUUUCAAGACUUUCCCCGUCAUCCCAGAACAAAUCGCCCCAGGCCCAGCCGCCUGCUGACAGCGCCACGGUCAGGAAGAAAGGGUUUCUGCGCGAGGCUGCGGUUGUCAAAGCAGGUUCCUUCACAAGAAAAGGCAGAGCCAAGAAAAACUAUGAAAAUGCACACUUCUCACCAAAGUGUUUUGGGAUACCGAAUGUGCUAAAGUCAGCAAAAUGAGGUGCACGUUGGCAGCAGACACCCACCUGCUGAGGGAUAAUAUGUCCAUCCCUCACAUGAAUGUUGAUGGUGUCCAGAGGGGCUGGCAAGAGCAGGU